GACGAACGCUGGCGGCGUGCUUAACACAUGCAAGUCGAGCGGUAAGGCCCUUUCGGGGGUACACGAGCGGCGAACGGGUGAGUAACACGUGGGUGACCUGCCCUCAGCUCUGGGAUAAGCCCGGGAAACUGGGUCUAAUACCGGAUAUGACUCCAUGACGCAUGUUGUGGGGUGGAAAGCCUUGUGCGGCUGAGGAUGGGCCCGCGGCCUAUCAGCUUGUUGGUGGGGUGAUGGCCUACCAAGGCGACGACGGGUAGCCGGCCUGAGAGGGCGACCGGCCACACUGGGACUGAGACACGGCCCAGACUCCUACGGGAGGCAGCAGUGGGGAAUCUUGCGCAAUGGGCGAAAGCCUGACGCAGCGACGCCGCGUGAGGGAUGACGGCCUGUGUAAC
rnacentral:rRNA from 1 species